GCACUACUGAAGAGUUCCAUAUUAGGACGAAACGAACGUCUAGUGC
rnacentral:hammerhead_ribozyme from 1 species